rnacentral:rRNA from 1 species
UGAGGAAUAUUGGUCAAUGGACGAAAGUCUGAACCAGCCAUGCCGCGUGAAGGAAUAAGGCCCUAUGGGUCGUAAACUUCUUUUGUAUGUGAGCAAUAAGGUCCACGCGUGGUCCGAUGAGAGUAGCAUACGAAUAAGCAUCGGCUAACUCCGUGCCAGCAGCCGCGGUAAUACGGAGGAUGCAAGCGUUAUCCGGAUUCAUUGGGUUUAAAGGGUGCGUAGGCGGCUUGGUAAGUCAGCGGUGAAAUUCCAGUGCUCAACAUUGGCCGUGCCGUUGAUACUGCUGGGCUUGAAUGCGGGUGCCGUGGGAGGAAUGUGUGG